AGAGUUUGAUCAUGGCUCAGGAUGAACGCUGGCGGCGUGCCUAACACAUGCAAGUCGAGCGAACCCCUUCGGGGGAGAGCGGCGGACGGGUGAGUAACGCGUGGGUAACCUACCCUGUACACACGGAUAACAUACCGAAAGGUAUACUAAUACGUGAUGACAUAUCGGACAGGCAUCUGUCAGAUAUCAAAGGUCAGCCGGUACAGGAUGGACCCGCGUCUGAUUAGCUAGUUGGUGAGAUAAAAGCUCACCAAGGCGACGAUCAGUAGCCGACCUGAGAGGGUGAUCGGCCACAUUGGAACUGAGACACGGUCCAAACUCCUACGGGAGGCAGCA
rnacentral:rRNA from 1 species